GACGAACGCUGGCGGCGUGCCUAAUACAUGCAAGUAGAACGCUGAAGAGAGGAGCUUGCUCUUCUUGGAUGAGUUGCGAACGGGUGAGUAACGCGUAGGUAACCUGCCUUGUAGCGGGGGAUAACUAUUGGAAACGAUAGCUAAUACCGCAUAACAAUGGAUGACCCAUGUCAUUUAUUUGAAAGGGGCAAAUGCUCCACUACAAGAUGGACUUGCGUUGUAUUAGCUAGUAGGUGAGGUAACGGCUCACCUAGGCGACGAUACAUAGCCGACCUGAGAGGGUGAUCGGCCACACUGGGACUGAGACACGGCCCAGACUCCUACGGGAGGCAGCAGUAGGGAAUCUUCGGCAAUGGGGGCAACCCUGACCGAGCAACGCCGCGUGAGUGAAGAAGGUUUUCGGAUCGUAAAGCUCUGUUGUAAGUCAAGAACGAGUGUGAGAGUGGAAAGUUCACACUGUGACGGUAGCUUACCAGAAAGGGACGGCUAACUACGUG
rnacentral:rRNA from 1 species